GAUGAACGCUGGCGGCGCGCCUAAUACAUGCAAGUCGAGCGAACAGACGAGGAGCUUGCUCCUCUGACGUUAGCGGCGGACGGGUGAGUAACACGUGGAUAACCUACCUAUAAGACUGGGAUAACUUCGGGAAACCGGAGCUAAUACCGGAUAAUAUAUUGAACCGCAUGGUUCAAUAGUGAAAGACGGUUUUGCUGUCACUUAUAGAUGGAUCCGCGCCGCAUUAGCUAGUUGGUAAGGUAACGGCUUACCAAGGCGACGAUGCGUAGCCGACCUGAGAGGGUGAUCGGCCACACUGGAACUGAGACACGGUCCAGACUCCUACGGGAGGCAGCAGUAGGGAAUCUUCCGCAAUGGGCGAAAGCCUGACGGAGCAACGCCGCGUGAGUGAUGAAGGUCUUCGGAUCGUAAAACUCUGUUAUUAGGGAAGAACAAAUGUGUAAGUAACUAUGCACGUCUUGACGGUACCUAAUCAGAAAGCCACGGCUAACUACGU
rnacentral:rRNA from 1 species